UACGUAGGUGGCAAGCGUUGUCCGGAUUUAUUGGGCGUAAAAGCGAGCGCAGGUGGUUUCUUAAGUCUGGAUGUAGAAAGGCCCACGGCCUCAAACCGUGGAAGGUCAUUGGAAACUGGGGAACUUGAAUGCAGAAGAGGAGAGUGGAAUUCCAUGUGUAGCGGUGAAAAUGCGUAGAUAUAUGGAGGAACACCAGUGGCGAAGGCGACUCUCUGGUCUGUUAUUGACACUGAGGCUCGAAAGCGUGGGGAGCAAACAGGAUUAGA
rnacentral:rRNA from 1 species